rnacentral:rRNA from 1 species
CGGGUGAGUAAUACAUCGGAACGUGUCUUCUAGUGGGGGAUAACUGCCCGAAAGGGCGAGCUAAUACCGCAUGAGACCUGAGGGUGGAAAGCGGGGGAGUCGCAAGACCUCGCGCUGGAAGAGCGGCCGAUGUCCGAUUAGCUAGUUGGUGAGGUAAAGGCUCACCAAGGCGACGAUCGGUAGCUGGUCUGAGAGGACGACCAGCCACACUGGGACUGAGACACGGCCCAG